UACGGGGGGAGCAAGCGUUGUUCGGAUUUACUGGGCGUAAAGGGCGCGUAGGCGGUCGGCACACGUCAGUUGUGAAAUCUCCGGGCUUAACUCGGAAAGGUCAACUGAUACUGUGCGACUAGAGUGCAGAAGGGGCAACUGGAAUUCUCGGUGUAGCGGUGAAAUGCGUAGAUAUCGAGAGGAACACCUGCGGCGAAGGCGGGUUGCUGGGCUGACACUGACGCUGAUGCGCGAAAGCCAGGGGAGCGAACGGG
rnacentral:rRNA from 1 species